UACCCCCGACCACCAAUGGUUCCCCAGGGGUCGGGCUGCCCUCCUCUUUUUCCGUAGGUGAACCUGCGGAGGGAUCAUU
rnacentral:rRNA from 1 species